rnacentral:rRNA from 1 species
CGCAAUCUGCCGACCACUCGCGAUUCAAUCAUUACUUCGUGAUAAAAGAUUGAGUGUGAGGUUAUAACGCCGAAGCGGUAAAAAUUUUAAUUUUUGCCGCUGAGGGGUUGACCAAGCGAAGCGCGGUAGGUUUUCUGCUUAGGAGUUUAAUCAUGUUUCAGACUUUUAUUUCUCGCCAUAAUUCAAACUUUUUUUCUGAUAAGCUGGUUCUCACUUCUGUUACUCCAGCUUCUUCGGCACCUGUUUUACAGACACCUAAAGCUACAUCGUCAACGUUAUAUUUUGAUAGUUUGACGGUUAAUGCUGGUAAUGGUGGUUUUCUUCAUUGCAUUCAGAUGGAUACAUCUG